UGGGGAAUUGUUCGCAAUGGGCGCAAGCUUGACGACGCAACGCCGCGUGGAGGAUGAAGAUCUUCGGGUCGUAAACUCCUGUCGAGCGGGAAGAACACUUUCCGGGUGAACAAUCCGGAAGGCUGACGGUACCGCUAAAGGAAGCCCCGGCUAACUCCGUG
rnacentral:rRNA from 1 species